AUGGAGACGUGUGGUGUUCUGAUUAUCUGGAUAUUUAACCUCCUGGGGGCUGCGCUGGGCGAUUCGGUCGAGCCCAGCGAACCCGCAGUGUCUGGAGGAGAAGGAGACGCGGUGACACUCACAUGCUCUUACAAUACGGACUAUUCUGGUGGCAUCUAUCUCUACUGGUACCGUCAGUAUCCGAACCGAGCCCCGCAGUACAUUCUCUGGAGAGGAGCGAAGUCCUACAGCAAACUCAGUGAUACGGCAGAGUUCGCCGAGAAGAGGUUUUCUUCUCAGACUGGCGACAACUCCACUGUUUUAACCAUCAAAUCCCUGGAGCUGGCAGACACAGCGGUGUAUUACUGCGCCCUGCAGCGGGCACAGUGA